UGGCACUUUCAUUUUAAUUUUGUUUAGUUUUUUUGGCUAUUUACGGUCUCAGUACAACUCAAUGUACAAUAUUUAUUUCUACUUAAUACAUAAACUCUAAAUCUGGAAUAUUUAUAGCUAAUAUUUCUGCAUUUUCUCUGCAGAUGAAGGCUUGAAUCUGGUGCAUGGGAACCUCUCGAAUCUGCAAAAGCAACAAAUAAAAGGUUUGUGUAUAUUCCAGAUUUACAGGAAAAAUAGAUAAUAUUGUAUAUCUACUUUAGGAAUAAGUUGGCAGAAGUAGAUGAAAUUUCAUAUAUGUAAUCUUUAUUAAGAAAAAUUAUAUAUAUAUGUUAAAAUAUGUUACCAUUUCUCCAACUCACUUGUGCAGAUGGCAAAAAUCAUUUUAGAAUAAAUGAAUUUUGAGCUACAAGUUCUCAAUCUCUAUGGCGUGUAUGAUCAAAACACAUCACAAUUGAAUUCUAACAACAAAUAGCGUGUUAUGAGAUGCAUAUGCACAUAUGUUAAAGUAUCAACCAUUGUCAUUUUUUUCUGUUCUAUUUCUUUUGCUUAUCAAAAUACAUUGAAAAUGAGCAACCUAACUACCAAAACAACAGUUUUUUGUUGAACUAUUAAAAAAAAGAAAUGGUUUUUUUUGUUCUUUUUCUUAAGCUUAUCAAAAGACAUCAAUAUGAGCUGCCAUCUGCGAAAAAAGUUGUUUUUUGCUUAAAAUAAUUUCAGAUUUUCAAGCAUAAUCAUUGAAUGAGAAAAAAAGAUAUGUAAUAAUAAAUUGCAUCAAAAUGCAAUUUAUUGCAGAGGGUAAAAUAACAUUUUAAGAUGAGCUAAAAUAGAGAUUUGUCGCAAGAUAAUUUCAAAUUUUCAAGCAUCAUGGGAAGAAAAAAGAAAAUCCCAAGAAUCAAUUGAAAUCCUUAUCCAAAUACAGGAAACUAAAAAGUAACUUGAUUUAAGAUGGAAACACAUACAAACAUUUGUAUUUUUUUUUACAUGUAUGUAUAAAUGGAAAUGGAUAGAGAUAGAUAGAGAAUAUGAAGCUACCUGAUUCCACUUUUCUUUUUCGCUUCAGUGAGGAAUUUUCAGCCAACUCCAGAACAUCCAUGGAGGCGGAGAAACUAAUAUGGAAAAAAUUAAAGAUCUUCC
rnacentral:lncRNA from 1 species